GAAUUGUGGGGCAAGCUUGGCCACUGAUGCAGAUUCUGUAGCUUGCUACACAGAAAGCCAGAGACUGACAGCCAAUGACUGAGACUAUGAGUAUUGCCAAGGAAGAAGGCUUUAAUCGGGUGCUGCAGCUGAGGAGAUAAGAGCUCAGUCUCAAAUCCAUCUCCCUGACCAACUAAAGCUAAGGAUUUAUAUAGCAGGGAAGAAAACAGGAACUAGGAAGGGGCAAGGAAGCGAUCGUGAUGAAUGAGGGGUCAGGCAUCUCAUUGUCUGGAUGUGGCGAUCUGCUCACGGUGGCCACACCCAGGACUUCCAACGUGAAUGCUUUUGUCACGGAUGCUGCUGCUGUUUCUGGUUCUUACUCUGCUUACACCAAGGAGACUGAUGUCCCUGCCAUAACCCCACUUCCGAUGCAGACAGCAUUUCCAAUGCAUUGCAGCUUUCAGGAUUUU
rnacentral:lncRNA from 1 species